CUGGUGCCAAGUAGUUGAGGUGCAUU
rnacentral:piRNA from 1 species